GUAAAGUGAGGCCCCCAACCCCGCAUCUAUGCUGGCAGUGGCCCGGAAACUACCGAUCCGGUUUAUUAAUAGCCGUCGGGGAAGAGGGACCCGCAGCAGCAGCAACUCCAUCCCAAGACUCUUACACUUUGCCAGGGAUGAAGAGCGACCCACAAUCGGAUCUGCACAUUUUUCCAAGAGAUCAGAUGUGACAAUGCGGUGAAGCAGCCAAAUUCCUGACUUUUGUCCAAGUCCCGCUACUCAGAGAUCCCAGGCCCCAGGCCCUGUGGCCUUUUGGCUGCCAAAGGGCCAGGACAGAGUGACAGUAGCAAACCAUCUUCCUAAUUGUCUUUUGAAUGAAACUGUGACUUGGUGUGACAAGGGCUGGACAGGAGUCAGUGACUUAUGGAGACAGAGCUCAGCCUGGGGAGCCCCCUUCCCAGGGCUUAUUAGCUCUGCUAGGUCAUAGCCCUUGUUUUCUUAUCUAGAAAAACUGGAAUCAUGUUACCUGCUCAACCUAUCAGGGGCUUUGGGAGAAUCAAUGGAAAGGAAAAUAUAGAGCCAAAAAAGCAUUAUAUAAAUUUCAAGCAUUAAAAUAAUCUCACCCCCCUCUUUACACAC